rnacentral:rRNA from 1 species
AUUGAACGCUGGCGGCAGGCCUAACACAUGCAAGUCGCACGAGUGGCGGACGGGUGAGUAAUUUCUGGGAAACUGCCUGCUGGAGGGGGAUCACUACUGGAAACGGUAGCUAAUACCGCAUACCAUCAGAUGUUCCCAGAUGGGAUUAGCUUGUUGGUGGGGUAACGGCUCACCAAGGCGACGAUCCCUAGCUGGUCUGAGAGGAGGACCAGCCACCAUGGAACUUGGACACGGGCCAGACGCAUACGGGAGCCAGCAGUGGGGAAUAUUGCACAAUGGGCGCAAGCCUGAUGCAGCCAUGCCGCGUGUAUGAAGAAGGCCUUCGGGUUGUAAAGUACUUUCAGCGGGGAGGCGUUACCCGCAGAAGAAGCACCGGCUAACUCCGUGCCAGCAGCCGCGGUAAUAC